GACGAACGCUGGCGGCGUGCUUAACACAUGCAAGUCGAGCGGUAAGGCCCUUUCGGGGGUACGACGAGCGGCGAACGGGUGAGUAACACGUGGGUGACCUGCCCUCAGCUCUGGGAGUAAGCCUGGGAAACCGGGGUCUAAUACUGGAUAUGACUCCAUGACGCAUGUUGUGGGGUGGAAAGCCUUGUGCGGCUGAGGAUGGGCCCGCGGCCUAUCAGCUUGUUGGUGGGGUGAUGGCCUACCAAGGCGACGACGGGUAGCCGGCCUGAGAGGGCGACCGGCC
rnacentral:rRNA from 1 species